rnacentral:rRNA from 1 species
GACGAACGCUGGCGGCGUGCCUAAUACAUGCAAGUGGGACGCAAGGGAACACACUGUGCUUGCACACCGUGUUUUCUUGAGUCGCGAACGGGUGAGUAACGCGUAGGUAACCUGCCUAUUAGCGGGGGAUAACUAUUGGAAACGAUAGCUAAUACCGCAUAAUAUUAAUUAUUGCAUGAUAAUUGAUUGAAAGAUGCAAGCGCAUCACUAGUAGAUGGACCUGCGUUGUAUUAGCUAGUUGGUAAGGUAAGAGCUUACCAAGGCGACGAUACAUAGCCGACCUGAGAGGGUGAUCGGCCACACUGGGACUGAGACACGGCCCAGACUCCUACGGGAGGCAGCAGUAGGGAAUCUUCGGCAAUGGACGAAAGUCUGACCGAGCAACGCCGCGUGAGUGAAGAAGGUCUUCGGAUCGUAAAGCUCUGUUGUAAGUCAAGAACGUGUGUGAGAGUGGAAAGUUCACACAGUGACGGAGCUACCAGAAAGGAC